rnacentral:lncRNA from 1 species
UGAUCCUCCCGCUUUGGCCUCCCAAAUUGCUGGGAUUACAGGCAUGAGCCACUGUGCCUGGACAACUAGUGCAUUUUUUAAUACUAGGUUUGAUAAUGAAGUGCAUAGUUGUGGAAAAAUAUGAUUGGAGGACAACACGGUGUGAUCUAAUAGCAAUACGCUGGGGGAAACUUAACAAGGCCUGUCAGUUCAAUUCUUCUUGGUGUCCCUGUGUCUUUGAGGAUAAGGAUGUUCCUAUAAUUCAGAUACAGGCAGGAUACCUCUGGAAGGGGGGGUCUUAUGACCGACUGCAGGGAGGAAGGUCAGAUAAUUCUGUUAUGGCCUACUUCAGGGGUGAAGGCUGAGAGGAAAGUCAGAGAUACCUUCCUGCUUCUGCAGUUUUCUCAAAUGCCAAGGCGCCAUAUUUUGGGAUAGAAUGUAAUGAAGCCCAUCAGAAGUGAAGGGGAAAAGGCACUUAGGUGAAAUCCUUAAGUAGUGUAUUGUAAUUAAUAGCAAGACUCACAUCUGGUUUCUUGACUGUAGCUUUAAUUUUAUUUCCACUAGAAUCUCUUUUAAAUUUAUUGAUGGUUCUAGCCACCCUCCCCACCCACAUGUUUCCUUGUUUGGGGUGUAAUGGAUCAUGGAGCUAGUAAGCUAUAAAGUAGUGAAUUAAAUCCUUACUACCGUAUUCCUCCCAAUUUGAAUUGUGGAAGAAUACAGCAGUCUUUUUUGUACAGAAAGAGACAAAAGGUCAUUUUAAUUUUAAUAACUGGAUAUGGUAGGAGAUGGUUCCUUCUUACUUUCUCACUUUUCUGUAGAAAAACCCAGCAAGCUUAGAGAUCUCUAAGCUCCUCUGGCUUAGAGAUGCCUCCUUCUGAAAGCUUGGCUGGUGUUUAUCUGGGUCGUUAGAGCAGACGUUCACAAAAUGGUCAGUUUUGUAAACUUUAAAAGGGAAAGGUUGAGGAAGUGGAUAUCCAAUCCUAUUGCUUACUGAGGUAUGUAUUCUAAUUGGCUCAGAAUGGAUUAUGUUUUCACCCAAAGACCAUUCUGUAUUUGAGCCAAAGUUUAGUGCUUUAUAAUUGUACUGAGGGUACUAAUCCUUUUUAAAACGAGGAUUUGGUUUUGAUACAUAGAUGACUUAUGUUUCUUACUCCAGCUUUGACCUUUAAUAUUGGCACCUGUUUCUGGUUUCUCCUCUAUAGGGCAGCUCCACUUGGGAAUCCCAUUGACAUCUAAAAGAAGUGUAUUACAGAAUACUCAAUGAAAUAGAAAUUGAUGAGUAUUUUCAAAGCCAACAUUGUACCUAAUGAGGAAAAUUUGGAGACAUCUCCUCUAAAAUCCCUACUACUACUACACAAUUAGAGAAGAGGAAGAAAACAGAGAUAUCAAAGUUAAAAAGGAGUUUCAGAAACAGUGUGUCCUUUGCCAAAGAGUGAGCUAGGAUCACCCAUGAAUACACAUGAGGAGAGAAACGGCAAAUGGGUAAAGUGGAAAACACCAUUUUCAUUUCUAAGCUGUUCAUGGCCAAAUGGCAUGCAGAGAGCCCAGCAGUGCUCAGUCCAGAUGUGGCAGGCUCAUUCACCAUGCAGCCCUUCUUUCAGCUCACACAGCUGUGCAGAGGCUCCUCCCUGGGUUAGGAAGCAGGGAAAGGUGAGGAGAACCGGGCCCUGCCUCAGACACUCCUGGUUCACUAGGAAGCCAGUCAGCACUAGAACUGGGUGGAAUAGAACAGGGGCUACGUAGAAGGACAACCAGCACUAGUGGAAUGAAACCCUCACCAGAGGGAUGACAGGAGGCACCGCAGGGAUACUGUCACUUCAGUAGGGAAUUAAAAGAUGGACAUGGUCUCAUGAGUAGCUAAGAAGAGGCAGAGGGAAUUUGUGAGCAAAAGCCUAGGAGUGGGAAAGAUAAAUUAGCCAAGGCAUGGUUGUAGGUGUGGUUUGAGGGGACAGGUGGGAGAUGUGAACUGCCAGAAUGACAUUCCAGAAGGACAAUGUGAGGAUGCAAUGUGCCCUAGAGGGAGCACUAGGAUGCAGGCAAGGCACAACUCCAGUCGAUGGAGGGGGGCAGAUGGGGAGAGGAUGGGGAUGGGGUGAGUGAAAAGAAGUUAUUGGCUGUAAGUGACUAUUACACUAAUUUCCAUUGCAUAAAUGGAAGGAUUCACAUUUCUAGUUUUUUUAAAAAAAGGUGUGAGAAGGAGUCUUAAAAUUAAUGUCAUUAAUCAAGACAGAGCAUGUUCAAAAGACUGCUUUGGUUUCAGAGUCCUGGUGAUAUGGUUUGAAAGUGUCCCCACCCAAAUUUCGUCUUGAAUUGUAUUUCUCAUAAUCCCCACGAGUCAUGGGAGGGGCCCACUGGGAGGUAAUUGAAUCAUGGGGGCGGUUACCCUCAUGCUAUUCUUGUGAUAGUUAGUGGGUUCUCACGAGAUC